UACGCUGGCGGCACGCUUAACACAUGCAAGUCGAACGCAGUAGCAAUACUGAGUGGCAGACGGGUGAGUAUAAUGUGGGAAUCUGCCUUUUGGUUUGGAAUAACUCGGGGAAACUUGAGCUAAUACCGGAUAAGCCCUUACGGGGAAAGAUUAAUCGCCGAAAGAUGAGCCCGCACUUGAUUAGCUUGUUGGUGAGGUAAAAGCUCACCAAGGCAACAAUCAAUAGCUGUUCUUAGAGGAAGACCAGCCACAUUGGGACUGAGACACGGCCCAGACUCCUACGGGAGGCAGCAGUGGGGAAUCUUGCACAAUGGGGGAAACCCUGAUGCAGCGAUGCCGCGUGAGUGAAGAAGGCCUUUGGGUUGUAAAACUCUUUCGUCGGGGAAGAAAAUGACUGUACCCGAAUAAGAAGGUCCGGCUAACUU
rnacentral:rRNA from 1 species